GUAGGGUUUAAGACUUCGCGCGCUGGAGCGACGCCUGGGCUCCUGGCUCCGCCUCCUGACCCCUGACCUGUCGAGCGGGUUGCCUGAGCCCCCUGAGCUUGGUUCUGCGGCGGUGCGACGGGGACCAUCGCAGCGUACGGUCCUCGGAGGUGGUGGGGCAUUAAACGCCGCCGCCUCAGCGGGAAGCCAGCCGGGUGCCAGCCGCGGGCCGGAACCAGCCAGUUGUCCGUGUGGUGGUUGGGAGGGCGCGUCUCGGCAGCCCUCGCGGCCUCCCUCGGGGGGUUUCGGGGUCAGAGGACCACAGUCACAGUGCAGGGGGAGAGCGAUCGGCCUUGGGAAGAGAAGCGGGCUGCAUAACCGAGUUCGGGAGGGUCGUUUCCCUGGCGUCCGUGCUCAGGCGAGCGACGGCCCUUGGGUUCGUCUCCGCUGACAUCGCCCGUCACGGGGGGUACUGAAAAGACCGAGACCCCCUGCUUGUGCAGGCGCCCAUAGUGUGCCAGUGGCGCCGGGGGUGGCAGGUAACGAGGCCAGUGUGAAGGGGAGAUGGAGAACCUGCCCCAGAAACCCGGUCAAGGUAACAGUUCUGGGUGGGUGGAUCAGGGAAGGCCUCGCAGAUUGAAAUUUCCUAUCCCGUUGGAAGGAAAUAGAUUUUUCCCUGCGAACAGGGCAGGGAAGGGAUCUUCCAUGACACGAUACUCAGAUUAAAUACUACGUGAAACGUUUCCAAACACCUUUGUAAUUCUACAUGUGCUUUUAUAAACGUUCGGCGUGGACAUCCAUAGCAAAAGUUCACCUCUUUGGAAGGACUCUUUAAGGCCCAGGUUUUAUCUGCCCAGAGUCACCCAGCUGCUGAGUUCCAGACCCAACUGGUACCGCUUAGCAGGUGGUUUCCACCGCGGCUUAAGGCUUUAUUCGCCUUGAACGUCUUGAACAUCGCAGCCUCUGUGAUUUAUAAAGCACUGUACUUCAACCUUGGCCACCAGUCAGUCACCCUGGGGCUUUGAAAAUGAUGGAUGCCUGAGCCACCUCCAGACCUAUUAAGUCGGAGGGGUGUGCAGUGCAUGGAAGGCACCUAUAAUUUUCUUUUUACAGCAUCACAGGUGAUUUUGGUACACAGAACUGAGAGUCACUAGAUUCCAGGCUUUUUUUUUUUUUUUUUUUGGACAGGACAGCUACGUCUAAAAGGUUGAUUCACAUGCGUGUUAUGUUUUGUGUACUCAGAAAAUACGAAUUCCUGAGUUCUGUAGCCUUGUGCUAGACAAGAAACUUAGUAGACGUGUUCCUCCUUAGCCAACAGAUUUUUUUCCCCUUCAUUUUCAAUCCUUUCCAAAAAUGGGGCCAAGGUAAGUUCCAGUAUGUGAAUGAAUUACAGAUUUUUAUUUAUUGAGAGAAACUGGAAUAAAUGUUAUAUGGGAGAAACGCCUAAAAGAUGAGUAACAUUCUGGCAGGAUUGGCCAGGGAGUAUAUUCUUCUGUCCACUAUGUAAUUAAGUUAGUCUGUGUCAAUAAUCCCAAAACAUAGGCCCCGGAAAAGUAAUCCCUGGAGGUACUUCUGGAAGAAGAGACUUCCAUGGCCAUAAAGCGAUUUGGCCCCUGCCACCCGUAGCUGCAGGGAGGCUGAGGGAGCAGAGAGCAGGACUACAAUGAUAAACCUAGGCUGGUCACAGUCCACAGUCCAGACAUCCUGCCGCCUCAAAUCAAACUAAAAUGAUGUUAAAUGGAGAAAAAAGUAGAGAGAAUGGGUUUUGGUUAAGCAGCUAAAAGGGUCUGCCACAACUUUGCUGAACCUGUUGUUUUCCAAGUAUUUGGGACAACCGUUUUGUGAAAUAGCAUCAAAACUUGGAAAGUGCUAGCUUUGUGUGUGUGCAUGUGCGUGUGCACGUGUGUGCAUGCACACACACACACACACACACACACACACAGCCGGACAAUUGAGCAAACCAUUAGGGGAUUAGACUGUUUGUAUGGACAGUUUUUCUUAUUCUAAAGUGGAUCUGACUCCCCGAUUUGGAACGAUCUUGCCUCAUUGGACUUACUUUUCCUUAGAAAAUGCCAUCCAAUCCACCAGCCAUGCCCUUUGGUCACUGUAGAUUAAUAGGACGUGUAGAGAUGGGCCUCAGAUGUCCAUCCAGCUACAUCUUUUCAUUUUAUGGAUUUGGAAACUGAGGUCCGAAAAGGUGAAGUAAUUGACUCUCUGUGAUAGACCUUUGUCUGCAGACAUCCAGGCCAGCAUCUUUCCAUGUCGUCAUCUUCUUUCCUGGCCCUACCCUGCCUGAGGAUCUUCACUAAUGAAAUGUUGUAGAGCCCCACAGUUCUGCGUAUUUAUUUCACUGUGGAUUUGGGGGUUUUCACAUUUCAUGUAAAAUAAGGAUGUUUUGUAGGUUAUGCUUUUAACCUGCUUGUUUUGUUCAAUAUUGCUUAUGGAAAGAGCUAUGAAGAAUUAAAAGCAUUAUUUUUAGCUAAAAGUAUAAUUUUAAUUAUCCCAUCAUUACUGAAAGUUGAAUCAUAUUCAAUUUUAUGUUAAUGUCAUUAACUACAGCGAUCACUUGCUUAUGUAUUUUUAAACAUGAGUCUAAAUAAUCAAUGUAAAACUUUGUACUUUGUCGCUUACAAUUAAUGUUAUCGCACUUCACCUAGGUAAUGCCUUAGCACUCAGCUAAAAACUAAGCUACUUUCAAGUCCCAUGUUGUCCCAUUGUGGAUUUGCUUCAAAAUUUGAAAGCAAAAUUUCAAUAAAAUUUCUUCUUAGGGAGUCUGUGCUGAAUCAAAUCUGCAUUUAUACCAUAUGACGUGACUUCUGAGUAGAUGCUAACUCUUUGAAAGCCUUGAUGAAUUCCCUAUGAUAAAGACUAGUGUUCUGUAGGAAAAAUCCCAGCUUAGAUGCACAGCUUAAUCUGUUGGCACAGAACUAUCGAAAAGCAAAAUAAAUUUCACAACCUAAGGGAUAGGCAAAGGAAGGAUCUGAAUAGAGUUUUUUCAAAGAAGCUCCCCGAGUGGCCAAUGAGUACCUAAAAGAUGGUCAGCAUCGUUAGCAGUCAGAGACAUACAGCUUAGAUCCUCAUUGAGAUACAACUGCAUCCUCCUGAAGGGGCUACAAGCAAGAGGACAGAUAAGAGAUAACACAGAGUGAGAGUGUGGGGAAACUGGAACCAGAUACGCUGCAGGGGGGGAAUGUAAAAUGGUGCAGCUGCCUUUGAAAACAGUCUGGCAGCUUUUCAAAGAAUUAAAGCAUAAAGGGCUUUCAUGUGAUCCAGCAGUUCCACUCCUGGAUGGAGAAAUGAAGAUACACUUACUCAACAAGAAAAAGACAACCAAUUUAAAAGUGGGCAAAAAAUUUGAAUAGACUUCUUUUUCCAAAGAAGGUAUGCAGAUGGCUAUAAACACAGGAAAAGAUGCUCGACAUCCUGGAGUUCUGACUAGGAACCAUGAACUUGCAGGUUCAACCUUUGGCCUCGCUCAGUGGGUUAAGGAUCCGGCAUUGAUGUGAGCUGUGGUGUAGGUCUCAGAUGUGGCUCGGAUCCUGCGUUGCUGUGGCUCUGGCAUAGGCCGGCGGCUGCAGCCCCAAUUAGACCCCAGCCUGGGAUCCUCCAUAUGCCACGGGUGCAACCCUAAAAAGCAAAAAAAAAAAAAAAGAUGCUCAACCUCAUUGGUCAUUAGGGAAGUGCAAGUCGAAACCUCAGUGAGAUACCACUUCACACCCAUGAGGAAGGCUGUCAUCUAAGUCACAUGGUAGCAAGUGUUGAGGACGUGGAGAAAUCAGAAUCUGUGUACAUUGUUGCUGGGAAAACAAACGGCAUAGCCACUUGGGAUAAUACAGCUUGACAGUUCCUCAGUAGGUUCUCCGUAGAGUUACCAUGUGAUCCAGCAGUUCCAUUCCUAGGGCUGUACCCGAGAGAAACGAGAGUGUCCACAGAGAAGCUUGUCCAUGAACAUUCAUAGCUGCAUUAUUCACAGUAGCCAGAAAGCAGAAACAGUUCAGGUGUCAAUUAACUGAUUAAUGGAUAAAUAAAAUGUAUAUCCAUUCAGGGGAAUAUUGGCCAUAAAAAGGAAUUGAUCCAUACUACAAUGUGGAUGAACCCUGAAAACAUGCUAAGUGAAAGAAGCCAGUCACAGAAGAUGACACAUUUUCUGGUUUCAUUUGCAUGAAACAUCCAGAAUAGAUAGAUCCACAGAAACAGAAAGUGCAUCUGUGGCUGCCUAGGGCUGGUGCAGGAAGAAGAGAAAUGACAGGUGACUGCUGAUCGGUACAGAGUUUACUUCUGGGGGGCAGAAUGAAAAUGACCCAAAAUUUGUACAACUCAAUAUACUAAAAAACAUUGAACUGUACAUGUUAAGCAGAUGAAUUAGAUGGUAUGUGAAUUGUAUCUCAGUAAGCCUGUUAAUGCGGGUAAAGUUAGGAAGGGCACCUCUCCGAGACCAGAGGUGACAGGUCACAGUGUGGCACAGAGACUGCUCAUCACCUCCCAGUAGCUGCUCUUCCCGUGCGUAGAUUGGAGGACACGGCUACCGGAACAAAGGCUGCAUUGUCCAACCCCCCAUGCAGCUUGGUGUGACUUUGUGACUGAUUCCGGGCAAUGGGAUGUCAGUGGAAGCAAUGCGUCUAACUUCUCAGUGGCCUUACCAGUCAUGGGCAAGCCCUUCCCUGCGUGCUGGAAUGCAGAUGAGAUGGCUGGAAUUUGAACAACAUCUUGGGUCGUGAGGUACAAGCCACAUGUCGAAGCCAGCCGAGCAACAAACCAGGUGGAGUCCCAUGUCCCUACUGGAUGUGGAGCUGCCAUCCUAGCCCUGGAUUCACUCUGUGACGGGGAAACAAACUUCUACCUUGUGUAACACAGUGUGUGACUUCGGAGUUUCUGUCACGUGCCUUCCUACGGAAUUCAAACCAACAGGCAUUAAUGUGAAUAUAGAUUAGUUAAGUUAAGGGAACUAGUGUGCCUGGCUUGUUCGUAGCUCAGAAAAUGAUAGAUAGCUCUUCCUACUCACUGAUUCCUCUUGUGCUUCAAAAAAAGCAGCCAAAGUAAAGUGUUACUAGUUCAAAAAAUAUAUUUAUAGAAGGGAAAUUUGGGGUUAUAACAUUUCAAAAGUGUACUGUAAUAAAGUAGCUUGAAGUUUAUGGAACUCAGAAUCUGGAAAAAGCAAGUUUUUUUAAGAACAAAAGGAAUUGUGUGCUCUCCCUGUGCUUUUUAGGAACCACAUUGGAUAUUCCUGGGCUUGCUGCCAAGUCAGGUUUUGGAGAGACGGUCAAAAGGAGUGACAUUCUGCUCUCAACUUCACGUGUUCUCUUUGGAUUGAGGCUCUUGAGGUUUUGGAAAUUUUCCUUGGGAUUUUCCUCUAACAGAAUAGACUCUCCGCCCCCACCGUCACCCUUGAGUGCUCUUCCCCUGGUCCCACGAUGUUGGGAGGAGGUGUGACGAGCCCUCCUGCUUUGAAAGGGGCCCCAGGCAAGGCUGGGUGCCCACCGGCUCCAGUGCUGCUCACCAGUGUCAGCUCCCCCGAGUGUGUGUGGCCAGAGCUCAGUGUGAUGGUAGACAGUGGCUUUUAUCUGCCCUCAUCCUGGAGGCGCAGGAGAAGCAGCGCUGCUACAAUAGUCCCCUCAGGAGUGGGGAAGCGUGGGGGGUGGCAGGACCCUCCCCGCCUUGGGCUGUGUCUUCCCAGUGACGCCACCAAGUCAGGUGGGGUCAGGAGCCGGAAAUCUUAGUACAGAUUUGACCAGAGAAUUUAACCCAGAGAUGAGCAGGUGCAGAGCUAUCAACUAGGUAAUAGGGUAGAAAAGGACUCUAAGGUGUCACAGAGGUGACCACUUCAGGAAGCAGCUGCCACCUCUGCUGGGGAGGAGGAGAUGGGAAAGGUCCGAUUAUGAUGCCGCAGAAGCUGAGAGGAGUGGGCUCUGCUCUACGGAUGCUCUGCUCGCUGGAGGGACUCUGGUUCUUCAAGUGCCAGAGACGCUGCCCGCGGCCUCAGCUGCUUGGGUAAUGGAGCCCUGGAUCAGGGCACCAGGAGCCGAAGGUGGAGGAGGGAGCCCUUCCAGCCCCAUCCUGCAGCGUCGCCAGCCCUUCUGGGCAGAGCCCCACCCGGAGCCAACCUGCAGGGUUGCUCCGCAGAUUCCCGCUCAGCACCAGCAGGCACAGCAUUCAGCUGAGGUUUGGAGCCAGAGCAGAUAACAGCUGUGCCUUCUUAGGUGGGGAGAUGUCCCCCUGUAAGUGGGCAGGUCAGCAGCUGCCUACAAGCUUGAAUAACCCAGUCAGUUCCUCGGAUCUCAUAAUAGUACCUCCAGGCUGACAGAGAAGGAUCCUCGUCCAAAGUCACCCCAGCCAGAUGUUACACCUCAGUUGUAACCUCUCCCAGCUCUACCCCCAGGGCUGAUUCCAUCCGGGAGUUUGGGGGGGUAUCAAAAGUGGAGAGGAGUUCCCUGGUAGUCAGGUGGUUAAGGAUCCAGCAUUGUCCCUGCCGGGGCUUGGAUUUGAUCCAGGGCCUGAGAACUUAGGCGUGUUGUGGGCAUAGCCAAAAGAAUUAAAAAAACAAAUAAAAAUCAAAACAGAUUUUAAAAAAUAAAAGUGGAAAGAGAAGUUGAGGAAUGAAGAAAAAUGAAACAGCAGCGGGGAACAUGCUAGAGCAACUUCUCUUCACUGCCAGGGCCUCCCUCCUUCAGCAGACAGGUGCUGAUUGUGAGGGAAGCAAGAGCAGCCCAGGACGGCAGUCGCGCUUGCCUCCAGUCCCAGUGAUCUCAUCCACACCUCCCCAGAGUUCCUGACAGCCCGGGAGGCCACAGGACCCAGUUCUGGCCAAAAAGAAGAACCCCCACCAGCAAGGUUGAGGGGAAAAUUUCUUGGACGGCCAGAGCCGUGCAGAGGGCGGUGCCCUGGGCCUUCCCUGCCUUUCAUUCUCGGGAAGCUAAGCUGAGAAUGGAAUUCCUGGCCCUGAGGCAGCCACCUCGCCAUUGUCAGGUGCUGAGGACACCGUCCCCGGGGGGCAGAGUGGGCAGAGAGCCCAGGUUCUGGAUCCCUGUGGGCUGCUGCUCCAAGCCUGGAAGGGCUGUCUCUGCUCCCCUGUUGCUCUCAGCAGUGUUCUGCUUCUGCUCCUUUGGGGGUUUCCUGUUCAUUGCACCCCUGAUACAUUCCAGAGUGGGGCGGGGAGCCCAGCAAGCUGCCGCAGAGCUUCCUGAGGGAGGCGAUGGGGAGGAACCACUGGAAUGGUGUCAGACAGCUGCCGAGCAGGUCGUGUCGAACAGAAAUACCGCAAACAACGCAGUGGCUCCAGGAGGAUGCAAGUGCACAAGGGUUUAAGUGACGCCCAGAUAAAAAGUGCCGUUUUGUGCCAAUGAGCUCCUCUCUUUGCCGUUUACUGUAGGCCCAGCUCCCCUGCUGCUGUCAGAGUGUCCUGCUUCCCCCCCUCAGGAAAGCACACCUUUCCUGGUCUCCUCCUCCCUGGAAUCUUGAACUCUGGUGAAGAACAUGGUGAAAUGUUCCAAGUGUAGCAGGGGCGUUACUGAAAGGGAAAAUCGUAACCGGUAAGGAGCACAUCCUUAGACACACCUUUUCCUAUCAGCUACCAGGACUCCUGAAAACAGUGCCCCUGUACUCCGGUGAACGUGACCUAGAGACGUCCUAGGAACGAGGAGAUUUGCUAGAGGCAGAUGAGUAAGGAGAGUCCCAGAACGGUUCGUCUCAGAACAACAAUAAUGAGCAAGCCGCCAGGAAGCAGAAAGAUCACAUCUUUUGUAAAAUUAGCCCUAGUUCUCCUCUGUGGCUCUUCUGGCUCCCUUUUUCUGCUCCCUUUUCUUGCACUUUUCAGACAAUCAGGAGCAGGAAACGAGGAUGUUGAUUUUCUCUUGGGAAAAGUACCAGUGCAUGUUUGCAAACGAUGCCAUUUCUUUACCGCUUUCUCAUGACAUCUGCUUUCCUUUUCCCAAGAACCCUGAGGGCUGUCAUUCCCAUCUUCAGAUGAAGAGCUCGAGACCCUAAAAGAUAGCAAAAGCUUAAAUACUUUUUUCCUGGUUCACAUAGCCAGAAAGCAAGAACCACGGCUAGAAUUGAAACCCGCCGGAUUCCAAGACAUGUGUUCCUAAUCCUGAUACUGGGCCGCCUCCCGUAUUUGAUGUAUUAGGAGUCCUCAUUAUCUGGCUCUUUUUCAUACUAGUCUAGAGUUUCACAUUUCAUCGAAGUGGUGAAAUUCUUGAAGUCCAGCCUCAACAAAUUACUUGAUUUUGCGUUUUCUGACUCAGGUUCAAAUUCCUUUGACCUCAUUUUCUAUAUUUAUAGACCAGGAAAUACUAAUACCAGGUCCACUACUUUAAUUACAUUGUACUUUCAAUACUUAGUGAGAGUUCACGUCUGGACACCUUCGAAUAGUACUCAUUCCCGAGGCCUACUCAAGACCUUCGAAUCAGAAAUCCUUAGGGCUGGGCUGGGAAUCCACAGUGAAGCAAAAUGACUGUUCUUUUUAAAAAGUCACACAAGCUUUGUAUAAAACUGUCAAGAGCGCAGAAGAAGAAAGCAAGCAUCCCCAGGAGCAAGCCCCCCCCCACCCCCGGAGGAGGGUGAUGGUGACAGUGGCAGCGGUGAUGAUCACAGCACAGACAAGCCAGUCCUCCUGUGUCCAGAUCUCACACAUCUUGUCUCAUCUGCUUACCUCUCCCUUCCCAGCAGUCUUCGAGCUGACACACUGUUACCCACAUGUACAGAUAAAGUGAUGGCGGCUCACGGUCUUUGAGCAUCUGUCUCUACUAGUUUCCUCAGACUGAGAUAACAAAGUACCACAGGGAGUUCCCAUCGUGGCUCCGCAGUAAUGAACCUGACUAGUAUCCAUAAGGAUGAGGGUUCGAUCCCUGGCCUCACUGUGGGUUAAGGAUACGGUGUUGCUGUGAGCUCUGUUGCAGGUCACAUGUGGCUCAGAUCUGGUAUUCCUGUGGCUGUGGCGUAGGCUGGCAACUGCAGCUCCAAUUCAACCCCUAGCCUGGGAACAUCCAUAUGCUGUGGGUACGGCCCUAAAAGUAAAAAAAAAAAAAAAAGUACCACAAGCUGGGUGGCUUAGAACAGCAGAUGAACCCAGCCAGUCGUGAGGCUGGAAGUGGGGCAUCUCGGUGUCAGCAGGGCCGUGCUCCCGUUGAAGCCUCCCUGAGGCUCCUUCCUUCCUCUUCCAGCUGCCGAUAGCCUGGGGCAGUCCAUGCCUGGGCUAGUCGGUGCCUGGGCUUUUGUGUGCCAUCUCUGCCUCUCUCUUCACCUGACAGUCUCACUUCUGUGUGUGUCUGUGCCCAAAUUUCCCUCUUUUAAGGACAGGAGUCUUCUUGGAUGAGGGCCCACCCCUGGCAAGUCAUCAUAAGUGAUUCCAUCUGCCAAGACCCAAUUUCCAAAUAAGGUGACAUGCUGAGGUCCUGGGGCCCAGGACUUCAACUUACCUUUUUAGAAGACACAGUUCGACCCAGACGCUAUCCAAGGAUACAAUGGCUAGUAGAGUGUGAGACUGGAUUUAAACUUGGGUGAUGUUAGAACCUGGCCCCAUGGCUGUGAGCCACCACCUAUUCUAUCUUGGCGAUGCCCUCGGGGCCUUGUGCUGUGGUGCCUUCAGCAGGGGAAGGAGUAAUAAACGCAGAAAACAUCUUGCAACUCUUGAGAAAAAAUUUGUUUAUGAGAACACAAACCCUGGGGCUAGUCUCAGACAUUUGCUCUACAACAGUUAGCUACAAACAACUCCACAGCAUUUUGAGGUGGGGGGUGAGUUACGAUGGAAGAACUUUACACCCAGCAAUUUGUCUUUCAGUGGCACAGGCGGGCAUUCUCAGAAAUGCAAGGGCUCCGAAAAUAUUCCACAUGUUGAAAAACUAUUUGAACAUACAUUCCAGUGGUUCAUAGGGUUUGGGAUUAUGUAGACCAGAAAAAAAUCUCAAAAAUAAUUUGGAAACCAACGGACGGAUUGCCAACUUUUAACUUUGUAAAGGCAUUUAAAGCCAAUCAAACUGCCAUCGAGUGCACACAUAUAAUGGCUUCAUAAAAGAUAGAUCGUCUUAACGCCAAAAAUAUGAAAAGGCUGUAACCUGGUAGCUAUUUCAAGGGGGAAGUUUAACUUUAUGAAAAAAUAUUUGUAUUUAAUACAUCUUACCCCAGAGCGGUGAAGAACUUUCUCUGUAGAUAAGAUCUCAACCCUGAAGGGGUUUUUGAAAACCAGGAACUCCCAGGGACCCAACGAAGGAUAAGCGAAAAUGGGGCCUGGCCAGAAGUCGGGAUUUAUGCCACUGAGGGAAAAAUGCGAUUUGAAACUGACCAUAAUCAUUUCCAUUUUCUAAGGAGCGUUUCAGGGGGCAAAUAAAUCUUUGCAGUGCUACCCCUGCCACCGAGAGAGGGUGGUGGAGGCAGAGAGGAAAAGAGAGAACUUGUUCCCUCUGCUGACAUCUGGGCUUCCACUUAGUUUUUUCCGAGUUCUCACGAAAAGACCUAUGCAAGGACCCCUGGUUUGAAAUGAUGCUUUGCAUUCGCACAUUUAAUUAACACUCCCUCCCUGAGCCUCUGUAAAAAGAGCGUGCCUGCAUGCAAACUGAGGGUACGGUACUGCCCGCUUGGCUGUAAUUGCUAAAAACUUCUGCACGCUCAAGUACAGGUGAGGCCAGCCUGGGAAAAGAGCCCAUCAAUCAGCGGUUCAUGACAUAUAAAGGGUGAGACUCGAGACUGGAGGAAGAGGAGGGGACCAGGACCUCCCUCCCAAACGUACAGGACGAGGGGCCGGGAGCCAGGACAAACAGAGUCUGUAGGCCAGCAUACCGGGGACAGACACGGAGGCUGCUCGAAGCGUUCAAUCGCAUUUAUUUUUGGAAUGAGUUCCUGGACUAAGUAAAGAGGGGCAGCAGUGGAGCCAGCUUAAAGCUGAGGAAGUGGGUUUGAGUCGGGAAAUUCUGCCCUGGAGCGUUGCCCUAGAGCCCAAGCUAAGUGUGAAGUAGAACCACAAUCAGGAAUGGCAGCUCUGAGGGACCGCGGUGAUGUCCCUUCCCCACAUCAGUUCCGUCCUCACCUGCGAGGCAGAUGGACCUCCUGUCUGGCAUAAAGUAACACUGCGGUACAUCAGAACCCGACUUCCUUAUCGCCAUAGCAACAGAGAUGUCGCUCUGAAAGACGUGCGCCAAAUAAGACAUCUGCAACCUUUACGCAGGGAUUUAUUUGUACUAGGGGAACAACUAAAUCCUCAGAUGAAAUGUCUUGACACAAAUGAAAGGUUCCCUCCUUGCUACUGGAAGCUUGAUGCCCGCCGGUGACUUGUCAAGGCCGCUGAAUUCCAAGCAGUAACCCGGAGAUGCAGGCUGCUCCCCCUCGUGUGUGGCUCCACCAUCCUCAGUAUGUACCCUCUGCGGUCGCCACCUUAUUAAAGAAGGAGAUGCACGUGGGCUCUUAAUGCCCUCUGAUCGUAGGUGGCAGAUGUCUUUUAUGCUUCCAGCCCAUUGUCCAGGACGAAUCAGAUGUCCUCGACGUAACUGCAAGGCAAGGGCGUCAGGAGAAGCAGGUGAGCAGUGAAGGACGUGAUCACCCGUCUACACAGGGGCAGAAAAAUGACACGCAUACCCUGCGUCUGCAUCAGGAGAGAUAGUUAUAGCGACUUUAUUUUUCAAAAAUUCUUUGUUAGAGUUGAUUUACAAGUUCUGUCUGUUUCUGCUGUACAGAAAAGUGACCCCGCCAUACAUGCGUCUAUGUUCUUUCUCUCACAUAAUCUUCAAUCCUGUUUUAUCACAAGCGAUUGGAUGUAGUUCCCUGGUAAUGACUUUAAUUCUCUCAUAUAUAACGGAAUGGCUGUAACAUAAGCCCUGACACGGUCCUUAAUAAAAUAAAGCCAGGGUUUUUCAGGAAGGAUAAAUGAGCAAGAAUAACCAGGAAAAGUUGGGAAGUAAAGUAGAACAAGGCAGCAAUCUCCGCUCAGGUGUUAAAAUGUAUGGUGAAGCUCCAGUUGUUAAAAUGAUCUGGUGGGACUUGCCCAGAAUAGAUAGCAAGAUCAUUGGAAUAGAAUGAAAAGUCUAUGAACAGGCCAAAGAGUAUCUAGGGAUUUAGUGUGUUUAGAUAAGCGCAGCAUGUUAAAUCAGCAUGGAAACGAGUGUUUAUCUUCAAAACAGCACAGGAACCACUGACUCGCCACGUGGGAGGGAACGUACCCUGUUCCUCAGGCUCUUCUCCGAAAUGUGCUUCAGGUGGAUCAGAACGUUAAAUGAGUUAAUAGAGGAAGAUGGAGGCUUGGGAAGGCGAGUCUUAGCGGGACUCGAUGGAGAUAGAGAUGCUUGCACUUGUUUAACCUAAAAAUGUUAAAUGUUUUUGUGCCCCAAACAACAGAUCAAGUUGAAUCAAAAAAGAGGAAAGAAAGCCCAUCGCGUGUGACAGACAAGAAAGUGCUACCGUUAAAAGGCAAACAGUUCUAGAGUGUGCAAACAUUUGCAGUCCCUCUGCUGAUGAUCCUGGGUUUGGUUUGGCUGGGCUUGAGCAAAUGAAAAGGAACCAGGACGGUGAGUGGAGCUGAAUGCUGUGAUUCAUGUGUGGAAACAGGGCACAGUUGCUUCUAAGAUACGUGUUGGGGACACUGAGAUCUCUAGACUUCUGUUUUAUACCUUGAGGGCAAAUUCAUCUGUGUCCUGCUCCUGCUGGAAGAUGUUUUUAAGACUGUGUGUGUGUGUGUGUGUGUGUGUGUGUGUGUGUGUGUGUGUGUAGACUGGCUAGGAAUGGGCCGUUUGUAUCCGUGGGUGUCUUUCUGGAACAGGAACAUGCCCAUAAGCCUCUGCUUGGUAUGAAAAAGGUCAAAUAUACAAAAAGCAGAGAGAUAUGUAUAAUGACGCUCCCCAAGUAGGAGUAGGUGUCAUUGCUUCAGCAAUCGUCAACAUAGGGCCAAUCCUGUGUCCCUUAUAACAUGAGACACUACAAAUGCCAGCUGCUGCGGAGCUGGCAUUGGAAGUCUGAGAAACUCUUCUCUGUAAGUGGGAUUAGGCAGCCAGACAGGCCUGACCUGAAGCUGGCCUGAGCCUUAUAAGUUGCUGCUGGGUUGAUCUUCGGCCACGUCACCUUUCUGACCGUCAUCUGUGAAAAGGAAAUACAGUCCACACCUUACAGGACAAUUGCCUUAACCCAAGGCUCCCUUCUUUGUUUCCAGCAGGUCCUUAAUUGCUAUUUUAUUACUGUUUCUACAUGUCUGUCUAGAGUGGACAACCUAAAGGAAACAAAGAGAAAGUCCUCCCCAAUAUUCAGACCUCCAAACAGGCUGAUAAAUAACCACUGCCCACCUGCCGAGGUCAUCGGUCAGGGAUGAGCACCUGCCGGGAAUUAACCCUGUAACUGGCAACUGGUGCUGGUGUGAGCUGCUGCCUUCUCAUUGUAAAUGGCAAAUACAUACCGAGAUGGUUCCAAAUUUCACCAGUAUGGCCUGAACAAUUUUUUUUUAACACUUCCUCCACUAGCUGGCCCCUUGCUUGGGUUCAGGCCCAGAGCUGCCCACAGGGUGAUCCGUGUGCUCUCAUGAGUCCAUGUCGAUGAAUUUUUCAGCCCACCUUCUACCAGGGAAGAGAAAACAGAGCAGGCCUGUGUUGAUGGGAAGCUAGUGAGUUAGGAGAGAUGGGGAGGAAGCCUGGGGAGCUGCUGCUCUGGUGGUGGGACCUAUGGGGGAAAGAUGAGCGUGUGACUCACCUGGGUGGAGUGCCCAGAACAGGAGGAGUCCCCGAACCUGGAGCUAUGAGGCGAGCCAGCACCUGGGCCCACAGGUGCUCCAGCUUUCUGGGGAUCCUCCUCCAGCAUCGCCAAAGCCUGGGCCGGGCGCAUCCACUUAACUCACGGGGCAGGCUCCCAGUUUUUGAAGGAUCUUCACACCGGUAAGUUCAGAGGCAGUGAGACCUCAGGCGGGUUCAGUCUGUCCCCGAGGACUCAGAUUAUGCUUGUGGGUCCCCCUUGUUCUCUUCUACCUCAUCUCCAUCUUCCUCUCUCCACUGCCCGCAGCCUCCAGCAGCAGCCGCCUUAUAGACACUGCUUAGCCCGGUCCUGCACUUGCUCAGGUCCGGUCUCUGUAACAGAACACACGCGCAUCUCGUGAUGGUGCUUCUCUGAUGGAGCCUUAGCCGAUGCGCAGAAGUAGACAACUGUGUUGGGGCGGAGGAGGUGCCCUGAACUCCAGCUCAGCCCUCCUCCUCCCAAGCCCUUCCAUCCUAGGAUCAACAGGAGCCUGUGACUGACUACAGCAGGAGAGCAGGCGUGGCAUGGAUCCCGUGCAAGCCGGCAGUGGAGACCCAGCGCCUGAGAGUGACGUGGGGAACUAGCAGGAGCUAGAAGUGACUUAGGACGAGCUUUUGUAAAGCUGAGGUGUGAGUGUAAUAUCAGGAUGAUUUGACUGCAAGCAACAGAGAAUCAAACAGAAAUGGCCUAGGGAGUCCCUUCGUGGCUCCCCAGUUAACAAUCUGACUGGAUCAUGAGGAUGCAGGUUCAAUCCCCGGCCUCUAUCAGUGGGUGAAGGAUCUAGUGCUACCAUGAGCUGUGCUGUGGUGUAGGCUGGCGGCCGCAGCUCCAGUUGGACCCCUAGCCCGGGAACUUCCAUAUGCUGUGGGUGCAGCCCUAAAAAGCAAAAACAAACAAAAAAAUGAAACAAAACAAAACAAAAAAUCCACAAAAAAAUCAGAAAUGGCCUAAACAAAGAAGAAAACGUGUUAUCCCAUACUACAAGAAGUUUGGGGAUUGAGUGAGUGGUUAAAUGCAUGAUUAGUUUAGAAACUUGACAGCACCACCCAGGACCCAUUUUCCCUAAGGCGCUGCUGCCCCCCACCCUGUAGGCUUAGCCACCGCAGCAAAGACACCCCCCUUCCCCAACCAGAGCCCUGCGUCAGGACUGGAAGGGGCCUCCUUCCCUCCAUCCCCUUCCAGAACCUCCGCAGAAGACUCCCCUUGACGUCUCAUUCCAUCCCAUACUGGUCACUUUGCAGGGGAACGGAUUUACCAUGGUGGCCAGAGACAAUUAAGUCGCCCCCAUCUCUGGAGAACACUUGACCACUCAGUACCCAGCAACUCGGGUACUCCUGGCAAGAAAGAGACAGGUGAUACCCACUGGGUCCUGUCCACAGCGCCUGCCCCCAGCAACCUGUCUACCUGGAAAACUGAGGGGGUGCCACGCGGGUCUGUGUCUUCUCUGUAGUUUGCCCGAGUCUUUCCCAUUAGGUAAGUGUCGCCCUUUUCCCUCUUUGCGGCUUUCCUCCUUGGCACGUCACCCAGGUUUUGUUCAGCCACAAGGGGCGAUAGGCUGAAAGAGGAAUCUCCAGGCCUAGGUGAUGGGCCAGCCGUGGUGAUCCUCACCCGUUUGCCUGGGCACCGUUUGGGAAACGUCCCCCUGCUCACCACGGAGAUGAAAGACCAGGUCCCUGGAGGGGCUUCGCGGAAGGAUUUUUCUCCCCAGUAAAGCGGCAGACAAGCCAAGGGUCCGCCGCCCUACGCGCCGUCUGCCUUGAGCCGCCGCCAGCUCACAUCCUUGAGCAGAAACGUUGCAGGGAGGCAGAAAGCGCCGAGUCUCAUGGAUCGUGCUGAGCGUUGCAUCCACCCAGGACUGCUUACCUUCAGACUUCUGCUCCGGUGGCAGAGCAGCAAACCCCUAUUGUGUAAGCCUUUGUAGAUGGCUGGUGCCACUUGCUGCUGAAAGUGACAGAUAAUCUUUCUAGGAAUAUAACCCCUAAAGCCCUUUAUGGUAACAGAUGCACUUAGAGAAUGUAGUUUUCUUUCUUUUUCUUACUUAAAAAAAAAAAAAAAAAAAGCUGAAGUCUGCCUCAGGCAAAAAGACAAACUGAAAACAUAUGUAUGCAUAAUUGAAGUGCAAUCAAUAUUCAUUAGAAAAUGAACGAAUGUUCUUCAGGUUACUUUAAUAGUUUUCUCGGGAAUCUGUUUUUGGAUACGUAUGUCAGCUACAAUAUUUGGCACUUCCAGGAGCUCUGUGUUGAUGUCCUUCCUAGAAGUUGCACUUCUGCGCAUUUUUCUGCGCCUUUGGGGUCUCAGAUGUUCCUGGAAGGAAUCACUUUUCACUCCCCUGGCUUUUCCCUCGAACAGGUAACUUGUAACUUGCUGUUGCCUAUAGAUAUCGAGCAUUUGUCCAAAAAUAUGUUCCUACAAUACCUUCCUGUCUCAGCCAUUCCAUUCACAAGACAGUUUAAACAUUUCUCCAUGCUAUUCCACAGAUCAUUCAUAGAGGAACCAUCUGAACCAUGCAACAAAGUCUAGAAACUUUUAUGACUUUUAACUUCCACGACAAGUUAUCAUGUACUUGGUACCCUCAGCCAGGUACAUGUUAAGCUCAGGUUUCAUGUAUGUUAGCGUGGAGCCAUAUUUCCUUGUGGAUAAACCUAUAGAUUUAUCCCCACCCCCACUUCCCUUCCCAGAAGUAACUGUUGCCUUGACAACAGGGUAAGGACAGCAGUGAUGACGGCUGUGAUAACGAUUAUGAUAAUGAUGGCAGGAGAAACUGUAUGCUGGCCAUUAUCUAAGCACUUUACAUGCAUUAGCUCCUUUAACGCCCAAGGAGGCAUGUGACAGAAAUGCUAUUUUUAUCCCCGUGUUAGAGAUGAGGGCUGAGGAAAGACUGGUGAGGUGCCUUGCCCAAGGCCACACGUCUGGUCCCCAGAGAAGCCAGGCUUCCUACCCAGGCAACCCAGGGGUCCCAUACACUGUCGCUGCCUGAUAGGUAGCAGUGGUGGUGAUACACACUUCCUCUAGGUACAUGCGCAUCCAUAAUAAAGACGCAGUAGACUUAUUUGCAUAUUUUAAAAAGUGUAUGGUUUCAGAACAUUUGUUGUUUUUCCCUGUUAUGAAUCGUGUCGCAGUAAACGUCUCGCGUGCAUCACCUCACGUGUGUGCUGCUCUAUGGCCAACAUCGAAAGGUCUCAUUUCUGGAGUUCCUGUCGUGGCUCAGAGGUUAACGAACCUGACUAGCAUCCAUGAGGUUGUGGUUCGAUCCCUGGCCUCGAUCAGUGGGUUAAGGAUCUGGCGUUGCCGUGAGCUGUGGUGUAGGUCACAGAUGUGGCUUGGGUCUGGUGUUACUGUGGCUGUGGUGUAGGCCGGGGGCUGCAGCUCCAAUUCGACCCCUAGCCUGGGAACCUCUACAUGCUGCGGGUUCGGCCUUAAAAAGACAAAAGACAAAAAAGAAAGAAAGAAAAGAAAAAUCUCAUUUCUGCUUGGUAGAUUUUGCACAUCAUCAAUUUUUUUUUUCAGUUGUUCCAAAAUAGCUCUUCAAAGUGUUAGUACCAGUUUGCAGCCAUAGCAACACUAUAUAAGACUUUCCAGUUCCAGUAGCCCCACCCAUUCUUAUUAUUGGAUUUAUUGGUUGGUUGUUGAUUUUUGUCAGUUGAUAGGUAUGGCAUGGUAUUUGAUCUAGUGUGAAUUUUUCUUUGAUUACCAGAGAGGUUGAAGCAUUUUUCCAUUUGUUUGUACUUCCUUUUUGCUUGUAUUGUUUACUUGCCUGAUUUUUUGUUUGUUUGUUUGUUUGCCUUUCCUUGAGCCGCUCCCACGGCAUAUGGAGGUUGCAAGGAUAGGGGUCGAAUCGGAGCUGUAGCCACCAGCCUACGCCAGAGCCACAGCAACUCGGAAUCCAAGCUGCAUCUGCAGCCUACACAACAGCUCACAGCAACGCCGGUUCCUUAACCCACUGAGCAAGCCAGGGACUGAACCCGCAACCUCAUGGUUCCUAGUCGGAUUCGUUAACCACUGCGCCAUGACGGGAACUCUUGCUUGCCUGAUUUUUAGGGAAUUCUGUUAUAUUCCUCUUCUAUAAAACUAGUUGUUUGGGCUGUAAACACCUUAGAGUGGCUACUGACUUUUUUUUUUUCCUUUUUUCUUGUUUGACUUUCUUUUCAUUGUUGUCUUUUUUUGUCUUUUCGUCUUUUCUAAGGCCACCUGCGACAUAUGGAGAUUCCUAGGCUAGGGGUCUAAUCAGAGCUGUAGCCACUGCAGCCACAGCAACUCGGGAUCCAAGCCUUGUCUGUGACCUACACCACAGCUGACAGCAAUGCCGGAUCCUGAACCCACUGAGCGAGGCCAGGGAUCAAACCCGAAACCUCAUGGUUCAUAGUUGGGUUCGUUCCCACUGAGCCAUGACGGGCACUCUCUCUUUUCAUCGUUGCCUUGAUACGCAGAAGUCCUUAGUUUGAUAUAGUUUUAUUCUCAAUAUGAUUUAUGCUUUUGGCCCUUAAGGAGGAAUGACAGUGCUCAGAUGUCAGCAAGAUGGCCUCGCACGGUUUAUUUUGUCUUUUUUUUUUUUUUCUUUUUAGGGUCACAUCUGUGGCAUAUGGAAGUUCCCGGGUUUGAAGGUUGAAUUGGAGCUGCAGCCACAGGCCUACACCACAGCCAUGGCAGCACCGGAUCUGAGCUGCAUCUGCAACCUACGCUGCAGCUUGUGGCAGUGCCAGAUCCUAACCUACUGAGCAAGGCCAGGGAUCAAGCUUGCCUUCUCAGGGACACUGUGUCAGGCUCUUCAGCCCCUGAGCCAUAACGGGAACUCCUUCGUUUUCAAGUUUUGCUUUCAUUUAGAUGAUUUGGGGGUAUGACAGGACGUCGAUACCCAGUCUUACCCUCUUUCAUCCCUGGUUUCCUGGAGAGUAUCUUUUCCGUUACAGCCAGGAUGCAGCCUCAUUCAUUGAUUAUGCUGAUCCUUUGCCCAGCGAUCUGACAGGCCGUCUCUGCGUAUUUCAGAUUUCCUUUUCUAAGUGCUUCUAUUUCGGGUCCCUGCUCCCUGUGACAACAUCACAUUGUUCAAAUUACUACCAUCCCUGUCUAAUCCCCUUCCUUUUUCUUUAGCAUAGUUUUGUCAAGUCCUUUGAAAAACUGUACAGGAAUUUUUUAUUGAAAUUGUAUUGAAUUUAUAGGUAAAUUUGGGGAAAAUUGCAGUCUUUAAAAUAUUGAACUCUCCGUCCAUGAAUAUAGUAAAUCCUGUAUUUCUUCCCCACUUCCAUCAGCUUUUGUUGCUUUCUCCAUAAAAAUCUGACACACCAUUUGUUAAAUUUAUUUCUUGACACCUUAAAAGCUUUUAUUGUCAUGGUUAAUAAUGUCCUUUAACAAUAACUAUUGAUUUUUGUGUAUUGGUUUCUAGCAAAUUGUGAGCUUUCUUAUUAGCACUCAUAUUUAUUUGUAAUUUCUCCUGGAUAUUCUAUGCAAGCAUAUAUUCUUUGUACUAAUUACGUUAUCUCUUUUC